rnacentral:antisense_RNA from 1 species
GACCAUGUAAGCAGAUCACAGAAGCUAUUCACAGAUCAUCAUCAGCCAGAGGGAAAUGAAAUAAUAACGCCGACCAUUUGUGGAGCACAUUCUGUCUGGAGGCAAAUAAUGCCAAGAUGGGAAAGCCACAUAAUGGAAGGAUCCCAGAUUUCAGAGCUGUCACUUGGAGGAGGGGCACACAGUGAAGAGUGGCCAUAUGGAUUUGAUCCCUAUCCUUCAGAGGUGCUCAGCCUAAGGGAACAUGGGUAGAAGAUUAAGCACUGACCAGAUAUAUAGAAGCACUUAGGGACUUUGUUCUACUAUUCUGCACUAAAGGAACUUUCAGAGCUUUCCAGUGCUUCAAGUUGGGGUCCGGCUCAAGUUCGUACAUUCCAACUUGUUGUUUGGGCCUUGUUGGACAUAACCAAAGUCUGGAUGGCAGGGUGAAAAUUGGAUAAACAGCCACACUGACUCAGGGGAGAAUUUUUUUAAUGCAAACAUCUGUUUCUUGAAUUUGGCCAUGGUAAGACCUAAGGGAAGGGGGAAUACCAGUUGAUGAAAUAAGAUCAAGAAGAUACUGCCUCAUUUAUUCUUCUGUUUCAGGGGUAUAAAUCCUGCCUUCUCUCAGCCUUACAGAGGAAGAAAACCCUUUCCAAGUUUCCUCUGAUACUGGGUUUAUGCCCAAUUCUAGUUUAGGCAUGAAGAAACUGAAGCAUGGAGGAAAAACUAAACAACUAGCCCAAUGUCACACAGGCAAGCCAGCCUUGACAAUGUGCUGAUGGCAACCU